UGAAUCAGAUUUUAAACAAAUUCAUAAAGAGGCAGUUGAUAAAUUAAUUCUAAAAUGGCCAUCGGUUGCAAAAAAAAUUAUUAAUAUUAGUAAGAAACGAAAAGAUUAUCAAGUAUCGCAAUACCUCAAGACUAAUAAUAUAUUAUUGGCGAACGAUUCAGAUCUUGGUAAUAUUGAGAUUAUUGCCCUUGAAUUACUUCCAUUACUAUUGGGUACAAUAAACAAGAAAUCUAAAAAAUCAGGAAAACAUUGGAGACCAAAUAUAACUGACAUUAAGCAAUCAUUUCUUUUUCAUGCAGAGACUAUUGAUGAACUACAACCAUAUAUAGAAAGCAAAAUUAGGAUUUACAAGCAGCAUAAAUUGACUCUUCAGCCUUUUGUAGUCAUCAUUGGACUAUUAGAUAACAUCGAAAGUUCGUUUGUAGUAAUAAAUGAUCAGCGAUAUGUUUUACCUACCCCCUUAAAAGCAAUAGACACAUGUUUUAAAAUCAUACACGCAUUGAAUGCAACUUACUCAGUAGAGUGUGAACACGUUUGGGAAUUUCUAGAAAAAUACAUUUAUGAAGUUAC